CACCCCACCUGCGGCACCGGGUGACAAGGGACAGGUGACACCGGCACAGGUGACACCGGAACAGGUGACAAGGGACAG